rnacentral:snRNA from 11 species
AAAUGUGAGAGGGAUCUGGCUGUGACAUCUGUCACCGCAUUGAUUGCCAGGGUUGAUUUGUAUGAUCUGACUGUCUGGGCAGGUGUCUCUUCCUCGCUCACUGCUCUCUGUGCAUGCCCCCUGAAGCUAUGCACUCAGUGGAAGAGGAUGAUCAACUCAGAUACAAGGAGUGUAACGUUCUUUGAUUGCCUGUACGUAUGCAUGACUAAUUGAAACAAAAUAUUUAUGAGAAUGAGCAACUAGACUUCUCUGGGUAGAAUUUUGUAUCCU